GCUGAGUUGCUAAGUGCUUCGCCAAGUUGCUGAGGCUGGCUUUGAACUCGCAAUCCUCCUGCUUCAGCCUCCUGAACCCCUGGGAUUACAGGUGUGCACCACUGUGCCCAGCCCUAAUCCUUUUUUAUUUUCAAACAGUGUCUCACUAAGUUUGUGAGGGUCUCAUUAAGUUGCCAAGGCUGGCCUCUAACUUGUGAUCUCCCUCUUUGGCCUCCUGAGCUGCUUGGAUGACAGGUGUGCUCCAACCACACCCUAUAUUUUUGAUGCUUCCAUAAAAGGGCUCAUCUGCCAAGUAUGGUGACAGAUACAUGUAAUCCCAAUGAUUUUGGAGGCAGAGGCAUGAGGAUUACAAGUCUGAGAACAGCCUCAGCAACUUAGAGAGGCCCUAAGCAACUCAGUGAGACCUUUUCUCAAAAUGAAAAAUAAAAAGGAUUGGGGAUGUGGCUCAGUGGUUAAGCGCCCUGGGGUUCAGUCCCAGGUACCAAAAAUAAUCAAACAAAAAAGAGCUCAGGCUGUGUGUAUUCUUUUGCAACCUGCUCUUGUUCUACAUUGUGACCUGCAGUUGUGUUGUAUGGCAUAUAAGUUUGAAUUCCAGAAUUUGAACAGACCACAAUUAUCCAUUUUACCAUUAAUUGGACAGUUACAUCUUUUGGUUGUCACCACAAAGCUACUGUGAACCUGCUUGCACUCAUUUCCUGGUUCAGGGAUGCAAGAAUUUCUGGGUCAUAGCAUUUGUAUCUUCAACUUGACUAGUGUCAAGAGCUGCCCAGAGCUGCCCUAACAAAUUACCACAAGCUUGAAUAGUUUAAAAAAAAAAAAAAUAGAAGUGGAUUUUCUCCUUUUGGGAGACCAGAAAUCCAAAACCAAGGCGGCAAAUCCAAAAUGAAGAGCUCUAGGGGAGAACCACUCCUAUAUUCUUCUGUGGUUUCCAGUAUCCCAUACUAAUUUGUCUUUUUUUGUGUGUGUGUGCUGGAGAUUGAACCCAGGGCCUUACACAUGCUAGGCAAAUGUUCUACCACUGAGCUAUAUCCCCAGCCUUUCUUUAAAAUUCUGAGAUAGGGUGUCACUCAGUUGCCCAGGCAGGCCUUAUACUUGUAAUCCUCUUGCCUCAACUUCCCAAGUAGCUGGGGUUACGAGCAGGCACCACCAUACCCAGUUUCACAUGGUCAUUGAAGGAGUUAAAAAAUAUACCAGCCUGGGCCAGGUGCAGUGGUACAGGCCUAUAAUCCCA
rnacentral:lncRNA from 1 species